rnacentral:lncRNA from 1 species
UUGUUUUAUGAAAAUCAUACCAGAACUUGAUGAAAAGAGAAUUUUCCUGGAAAGUGUUUGUGUUUGGAGAGAAAGGGAAGUGAAACUCUGUCAGAUCAAAUGGCUUGUGCUUUUUUUAUUGUUGUCUGGGGAGGCAAUCAAAAAAAUCUAGAGACCGAGGCAGAAAAAAAGCAACGUGGAAUACUUUAAUGUUAUGCUUGUGUAGAAAGUGCUAACCUAUGCCAACAGUAUGUAUUUAAAUGUAUUUUUUGCAUGUUUGUCUUUCCUAAAAUGCACUUAACCUUGUUUUCCUGCUACUUGUUUUUUCCAUUUCCCUAAUUUCUG